UACGUAGGGUGCAAGCGUUGUCCGGAAUUAUUGGGCGUAAAGAGCUCGUAGGCGGUUUGUCGCGUCGGAUGUGAAACCCCGGGGCUUAACCCCGGGCCUGCAUUCGAUACGGGCUGACUAGAGUUCGGCAGGGGAGACUGGAAUUCCUGGUGUAGCGGUGAAAUGCGCAGAUAUCAGGAGGAACACCGGUGGCGAAGGCGGGUCUCUGGGCCGAAAUUGACGCUGAGGAGCGAAAGCGUGGGGAGCAAACAGG
rnacentral:rRNA from 1 species